rnacentral:rRNA from 1 species
GACGAACGCUGGCGGCGUGCUUAACACAUGCAAGUCGAACGAGGCGAUUGAAAGCUUGCUUUCGAAAGUCGAGUGGCAAACGGGUGAGUAACGCGUAAACAACCUGCCUUUGAGAUGGGGACAACAGUUCGAAAGGACUGCUAAUACCGAUUGUUGUAUAUUUUCCACAUGGAAGAUAUAUUAAAGAUGGCCUCUAUUUAUAAGCUAUCGCUCAAAGAUGGGUCUGCGUCUGAUUAGCUAGUUGGUGGGGUAACGGCCUACCAAGGCGACGAUCAGUAGCCGGUCUGAGAGGAUGAACGGCCACAUUGGGACUGAGACACGGCCCAGACUCCUACGGGAGGCAGCAGUGGGGAAUCUUCCACAAUGGACGAAAGUCUGAUGGAGCAACGCCGCGUGAGUGAAGAAGGGUUUCGGCUCGUAAAGCUCUGUUGUCGGGGACGAAUGUGCAGUAUUUGAAUAAAGUACUGUAAUGACGGUACCUGACGAGGAAGCCACGGCUAACUACGUGCCAGCCGCCGCUGUAAAAC